AGCGAACGCUGGCGGCAGGCCUAACACAUGCAAGUCGAACGAACCCUUCGGGGUUAGUGGCGGACGGGUGAGUAACACGUGGGAACGUGCCUUUAGGUUCGGAAUAACUCAGGGAAACUUGUGCUAAUACCGAAUGUGCCCUUCGGGGGAAAGAUUUAUCGCCUUUAGAGCGGCCCGCGUCUGAUUAGCUAGUUGGUGAGGUAAUGGCUCACCAAGGCUACGAUCAGUAGCUGGUCUGAGAGGAUGACCAGCCACAUUGGGACUGAGACACGGCCCAAACUCCUACGGGAGGCAGCAGUGGGGAAUCUUGCGCAAUGGGCGAAAGCCUGACGCAGCCAUGCCGCGUGGAUGAUGAAGGUCUUAGGGUUGUAAAGCCCUUUCGGCGGGGAAGAUAAUGACGGUACCCGCAGAAGAAGCCCCGGCUAACUUCGUGCCAGCCGCCGCGGUAAAAC
rnacentral:rRNA from 1 species